UCGGGAAUUUUGGGCAAUGGGCGAAAGCCUGACCCAGCAACGCCGCGUGAAGGAUGAAGUAUUUCGGUAUGUAAACUUCGAAAGAAUAGGAAGAAUAAAUGACGGUACUAUUUAUAAGGUCCGGCUAACUACGUGCCAGCAGCCGCGGUAAUACGUAGGGACCAAGCGUUGUUCGGAUUUACUGGGCGUAAAGGGCGCGUAGGCGGCAUGACAAGUCACUUGUGAAAUCUCUGGGCUUAACUCAGAACGGCCAAGUGAUACUGUCGCGCUAGAGUGCAGAAGGGGCAAUCGGAAUUCUUGGUGUAGCGGUGAAAUGCGUAGAUAUCAAGAGGAACACCUGAGGUGAAGACGGGUUGCUGGGCUGACACUGACGCUGAGGCGCGAAAGCCAGGGGAGCAAACGGGAUUAGAUACCCAGGUAGUCCCUGAGCGGGCUGGCAAGGCGCAU
rnacentral:rRNA from 1 species